rnacentral:rRNA from 1 species
GAUGAACGCUGGCGGCGUGCUUAACACAUGCAAGUCGAACGGAGUUAUUUGGAAGCUUGCUUUUGAAUAACUUAGUGGCGGACGGGUGAGUAACGCGUGGGUGACCUGCCUUAUACUGGGGGAUAACACUUAGAAAUAGGUGCUAAUACCGCAUAAGCGCACAGUUCUGCAUGGAACAGUGUGAAAAACUCCGGUGGUAUAAGAUGGACCCGCGUCUGAUUAGCUAGUUGGUGAGGUAACGGCUCACCAAGGCGACGAUCAGUAGCCGGCCUGAGAGGGUGAACGGCCACAUUGGGACUGAGACACGGCCCAAACUCCUACGGGAGGCAGCAGUGGGGAAUAUUGCACAAUGGGGGGAAACCCUGAUGCAGCGACGCCGCGUGAGUGAAGAAGUAUUUCGGUAUGUAAAGCUCUAUCAGCAGGGAANAAAAUGACGGUACCUGACUAAGAAGCCCCGGCUAACUACGUG